AAAUGAAUAGACGGGGACCCGCACAAGCAGUGGAGUAUGUGGUUUAAUUCGACGCAACGCGAAGAACCUUACCAGGGCUUGACAUCCCUCGCAAUCUUAAGAGAUUAGGAGUUCCCUUCGGGGACGAGGAGACAGGUGGUGCAUGGUUGUCGUCAGCUCGUGUCGUGAGAUGUUCGGUUAAGUCCGGCAACGAGCGCAACCCUUAUUGUCUGUUACUACCAUUAAGUUGAGGACUCAGACGAUACCGCCGUUAACAAAACGGAGGAAGGUGGGGAUGACGUCAAAUCAUCAUGCCCCUUAUGUCCUGGGCUACACACGUACUACAAUGGCUACCACAGCAGGCAGCGAAGCCGUGAGGCGGAGCGAAUCCUCAAAGGUAGUCUCAGUUCGGAUUGCAGGCUGCAACUCGCCUGCAUGAAGUCGGAAUUGCUAGUAAUGGCAGGUCAGCAUACUGCCGUGAAUACGUUCCCGGGUCUUGUACACACCGCCCGU
rnacentral:rRNA from 1 species